CACUAUCGUUAACUGAAUACAUAGGUUAACGAGGCGAACCGGGGGAACUGAAACAUCUAAGUACCCCGAGGAAAAGAAAUCAACCGAGAUUCCCCCAGUAGCGGCGAGCGAACGGGGAGCAGCCCAGAGUCUGAAUCAGCUUGUGUGUUAGUGGAACGGUCUGGAAAGUCCGACGGUACAGGGUGAUAGUCCCGUACACCAAAAUGCACAGGCUGUGAACUCGAAGAGUAGGGCGGGACACGUGGUAUCCUGUCUGAAUAUGGGGGGACCAUCCUCCAAGGCUAAAUACUCCUGACUGACCGAUAGUGAACCAGUACCGUGAGGGAAAGGCGAAAAGAACCCCGGCGAGGGGAGUGAAAAAGAACCUGAAACCGUGUACGUACAAGCAGUGGGAGCACCUUCGGGUGUGACUGCGUACCUUUUGUAUAAUGGGUCAGCGACUUAUAUUCUGUAGCAAGGUUAACCGUAUAGGGGAGCCGCAGGGAAACCGAGUCUUAACUGGGCGUUAAGUUGCAGGGUAUAGACCCGAAACCCGGUGAUCUAGCCAUGGGCAGGUUGAAGGUUGGGUAACACUAACUGGAGGACCGAACCGACUAAUGUUGAAAAAUUAGCGGAUGACUUGUGGCUGGGGGUGAAAGGCCAAUCAAACCGGGAGAUAGCUGGUUCUCCCCGAAAGCUAUUUAGGUAGCGCCUCGUGAACUCAUCUUCGGGGGUAGAGCACUGUUUCGGCUAGGGGGUCAUCCCGACUUACCAACCCGAUGCAAACUACGAAUACCGAAGAAUGUUAUCACGGGAGACACACGGCGGGUGCUAACGUCCGUCGUGAAGAGGGAAACAACCCAGACCGCCAGCUAAGGUCCCAAAGUCAUGGUUAAGUGGGAAACGAUGUGGGAAGGCACAGACAGCCAGGAUGUUGGCUUAGAAGCAGCCAUCAUUUAAAGAAAGCGUAAUAGCUCACUGGUCGAGUCGGCCUGCGCGGAAGAUGUAACGGGGCUAAACCAUGCACCGAAGCUGCGGCAGCGACACUAUGUGUUGUUGGGUAGGGGAGCGUUCUGUAAGCCUGCGAAGGUGUGCUGUGAGGCAUGCUGGAGGUAUCAGAAGUGCGAAUGCUGACAUAAGUAACGAUAAAGCGGGUGAAAAGCCCGCUCGCCGGAAGACCAAGGGUUCCUGUCCAACGUUAAUCGGGGCAGGGUGAGUCGACCCCUAAGGCGAGGCCGAAAGGCGUAGUCGAUGGGAAACAGGUUAAUAUUCCUGUACUUGGUGUUACUGCGAAGGGGGGACGGAGAAGGCUAUGUUAGCCGGGCGACGGUUGUCCCGGUUUAAGCAUGUAGGCUGAUUGUCCAGGCAAAUCCGGAUAAUCAAGGCUGAGGUGUGAUGACGAGGCACUACGGUGCUGAAGUAACAAAUGCCCUGCUUCCAGGAAAAGCCUCUAAGCAUCAGGUAACAUUAAAUCGUACCCCAAACCGACACAGGUGGUCAGGUAGAGAAUACCAAGGCGCUUGAGAGAACUCGGGUGAAGGAACUAGGCAAAAUGGUGCCGUAACUUCGGGAGAAGGCACGCUGGUGUGUAGGUGAAGUCCCUGCGGAUGGAGCUGAGACCAGUCGAAGAUACCAGCUGGCUGCAACUGUUUAUUAAAAACACAGCACUGUGCAAACACGAAAGUGGACGUAUACGGUGUGACGCCUGCCCGGUGCCGGAAGGUUAAUUGAUGGGGUUAUCCGUAAGGAGAAGCUCUUGAUCGAAGCCCCGGUAAACGGCGGCCGUAACUAUAACGGUCCUAAGGUAGCGAAAUUCCUUGUCGGGUAAGUUCCGACCUGCACGAAUGGCGUAAUGAUGGCCAGGCUGUCUCCACCCGAGACUCAGUGAAAUUGAACUCGCUGUGAAGAUGCAGUGUACCCGCGGCAAGACGGAAAGACCCCGUGAACCUUUACUAUAGCUUGACACUGAACAUUGAGCCUUGAUGUGUAGGAUAGGUGGGAGGCUUUGAAGCGUGGACGCCAGUCUGCGUGGAGCCAACCUUGAAAUACCACCCUUUAAUAUUUGAUGUUCUAACGUUGGCCCCUGACCGGGGUUGCGGACAGUGUCUGGUGGGUAGUUUGACUGGGGCGGUCUCCUCCCAAAGCGUAACGGAGGAGCACGAAGGUUAGCUAAUCCUGGUCGGACAUCAGGAGGUUAGUGCAAUGGCAUAAGCUAGCUUGACUGCGAGCGUGACGGCGCGAGCAGGUGCGAAAGCAGGUCAUAGUGAUCCGGUGGUUCUGAAUGGAAGGGCCAUCGCUCAACGGAUAAAAGGUACUCCGGGGAUAACAGGCUGAUACCGCCCAAGAGUUCAUAUCGACGGCGGUGUUUGGCACCUCGAUGUCGGCUCAUCACAUCCUGGGGCUGAAGUAGGUCCCAAGGGUAUGGCUGUUCGCCAUUUAAAGUGGUACGCGAGCUGGGUUUAGAACGUCGUGAGACAGUUCGGUCCCUAUCUGCCGUGGGCGCUGGAGAAUUGAGGGGGGCUGCUCCUAGUACGAGAGGACCGGAGUGGACGCAUCACUGGUGUUCGGGUUGUCAUGCCAAUGGCACUGCCCGGUAGCUAAAUGCGGAAGAGAUAAGUGCUGAAAGCAUCUAAGCACGAAACUUGCCCCGAGAUGAGUUCUCCCUGAGACUUUAAGUCUCCUGAAGGAACGUUGAAGACGACGACGUUGAUAGGCCGGGUGUGUAAGCGCAGCGAUGCGUUGAGCUAACCGGUACUAAUGAACCGUGAGGCUUAACCUU
rnacentral:rRNA from 1 species